rnacentral:rRNA from 1 species
UAGUUGUGGGGUCCAUUCCACGGAUUCCGUGACGCAGCUAACGCAUUAAGUUCCCCGCCUGGGGAGUACGGCCGCAAGGCUAAAACUCAAAGGAAUUGACGGGGACCCGCACAAGCGGCGGAGCAUGCGGAUUAAUUCGAUGCAACGCGAAGAACCUUACCAAGGCUUGACAUAUACGAGAACGGGCCAGAAAUGGUCAACUCUUUGGACACUCGUAAACAGGUGGUGCAUGGUUGUCGUCAGCUCGUGUCGUGAGAUGUUGGGUUAAGUCCCGCAACGAGCGCAACCCUCGUUCUAUGUUGCCAGCACGUAAUGGUGGGAACUCAUGGGAUACUGCCGGGGUCAACUCGGAGGAAGGUGGGGAUGACGUCAAAUCAUCAUGCCCCUUAUGUCUUGGGCUUCACGCAUGCUACAAUGGCCGGUACAAAGGGCUGCAAUACCGUGAGGUGGAGCGAAUCCCAAAAAGCCGGUCCCAGUUCGGAUUGAGGUCUGCAACUCGACCUCAUGAAGUCGGAGUCGCUAGUAAUCGCAGAUCAGCAACGCUGCGGUGAAUACGUUCCCGGGUCUUGUACACACCGCCCGUCAAGUCAUGAAAGUCGGUAACACCUGAAGCCGGUGGCCCAACCCUUGNGGAGGGAGCCGUCGAA